rnacentral:lncRNA from 1 species
UCAGGCAAGCACACAAGGAACAACAUUCUCAUUUGUCUCCACUGAAACUACUGCUUUUGAGCUGACAGUCAUGUCACCAUGAAGACCACAAAGACCUACCAAGACUGCCUCUCAAAGAAACCGUGUCAAGAUCCAGCACCAGGUCUAAGCUCUCCACCCACUGGAGAAUAUGAACACAAGCCUCUCUUCAGGUGAGAGCCUGAGCAAGCAUCUGGAAAGUACUACAAGGGAAUUUUGGAUCCAAAAGGGGAAUGAAUGUGCCAAGCACAGAUCUAGCAGGAAAGAGAGUGUUGCAGAUCAUCACUUGAGAGGCUGAUGGGACACGUGGAGGCAGCUGGGUCCGUGAUGCCCAAUUUGAUCCUCUGGCAAGCCUCCCGGGAGCUGUUUGCCUCCCAUUGACACAGUUUAUAAUCAUCACCUGAUCAAGGAGACCUUUCUCAGCAAGUCUUGAUGCUUGCCUGAUGAAGUGAACUACUCAGGCAGUUCAGGCUGAAGACCAUGGUGAGCACCACAAAGAGCUGCAGUGUCCUAGGACAACUUUUUUCCUGAAGAGUGAUGAAGAAAAUAUUUUAUAAGACACAGAUACAUGCAAAACACAGCCUCUUUAGAUCAGCUCCAGGAUUACAGGUUGCCAUGAAAUGUAGAAUAAAAGAGGAAAGGAUUAUGCCAGGAAAAAAUGAGAAACAGCAGUUUCAUCUCUCAGUCAAGGACCCACCAUUAACAGAGAGAGAAAUUAUAACUUGUGUCCAGAAAGCUUACUGCCUGGCAAUCUUCCUCCCUUUCAUUUGCAGAAUGGCACACUAAAAGCUGGCAAGAUAGACUUUAUGCAAAGCCCUUCUGCAAUAAAGGAAACUUCUCUGCAGACAAAUGUUGGAUUAAACAAAUUCCCUGGUUCAGGUGGUAGGGCACAGAUUUUCCUCCUGUUCUCUGAGAUGGGGCAGCAGCUUCUUACCAGCUGUUGUGCCUACAAACAUUUGUG